rnacentral:rRNA from 1 species
GACGAACGCUGGCGGCGCGCCUAACACAUGCAAGUCGAACGAGAGAGGAAGAGCUUGCUUUUCCGAUCGAGUGGCGAACGGGUGAGUAACGCGUGAGGAACCUGCCUCAAAGAGGGGGACAACAGUUGGAAACGACUGCUAAUACCGCAUAAGCCCACGGCUCGGCAUCGAGCAGAGGGAAAAGGAGCAAUCCGCUUUGAGAUGGCCUCGCGUCCGAUUAGCUAGUUGGUGAGGUAACGGCCCACCAAGGCGACGAUCGGUAGCCGGACUGAGAGGUUGAACGGCCACAUUGGGACUGAGACACGGCCCAGACUCCUACGGGAGGCAGCAGUGGGGAAUAUUGCACAAUGGGGGAAACCCUGAUGCAGCGACGCCGCGUGGAGGAAGAAGGUCUUCGGAUUGUAAACUCC